AGUGGAACAACUGGGUCAAAUGGUAGUUCCAUUCCUAGAUUUUUGAGAAAUCUGCAUACUGCUUUCCAGAGUGGUUGCACCAAUUUUCAGUCCCACCAGCAAU
rnacentral:pre_miRNA from 1 species